UUAUCCUUUGCCAAACUUUCUCCUUCUUACCUCCUGCUAAUCCAUACCUACAAGAAUCAUAUAGUAGUAUAAUAUGUGCUGUGUAUUUCCCAACGAGCCCUUUUCAAUACCAUUUUAUGGACUUUCCCGUGAACUCACUGACUCUUCGACCAUUACUCCUUAUAUAUGUAUUUGUAGACGCUAGCUGUACUUUUAUGCCCAUAAAAUCCA